GUUUUAAAAAAAAUAAUAUAAAUUUUCUUUAUAUAAUUAAUUUAAAUAUAUUUCAAGUAUAGAAGAUAUUUUUUAUUUUUAUUUUAAAAAUAAAAAGAAAUUUAUGUAAAAGUUUGGUAAAAUUUGUGCCAGCAGCCGCGGUUAUACAAAUAAAUUUAUUUUUUAUUAUUUAUUUAAAUAGAUAAAUUAAAGUAAGUUAAUGUAAUUUUAUUUUUAGGUGAAAUUUAUUAAUAAUUUAAUUUAAAUUAUUAUUGAUUUUUUAAAAAUUUUUAAAAUAAACUAGGAUUAGAUACCCUAUUAUUAAAAGCUAAAAUGUUGAGAGUAUAUAAAUAUUAUGAAAUCAAAAAAUUUUGGCGGUAUUUUAAGCUUUUUAGAGGAAUUUGCUCUGUAAUGGAUAAAACACCUAAAUCUUACUUAAUUUUGUUAAAUCAGUUUGUAUACCACUAUAUUUAAUUAUAUUGAAUAAUUAUAUUUAUAAUUUUAUAUUAUAAAAAUAUAUUAAGUCAAGGUGCAACAAAAAAAUUAUGAAUGAAGUGAAUUACAUUAAUUAUUAUAGAAAUACAGAUGAAAUUAAAAAAUUUAGGAUUUAAUAGUAAAAUAUUAAUAUAAUGAAUAUUUGAAAUAAGCUCUAAAAUAUGCACAUAUCGCCCGUCGCUCUCAUUUAUGAGAUAAGUCGUAACAAAGUAAAAAUACUGGAAAGUGUUUUU
rnacentral:rRNA from 1 species